GACAAAGCGAGCAACGUUGUCAAAGCGGUCCAACUGAAGAAUGGUCUGAGAAUGCAGCACUUUGGUCACCGACUUCAUCUGGCCAUCGGACAUGGCAUGGAUGACAACUGCAUCACCCGGGCCAUUUCUCAGUGUAAGAGAAUUGUCAGGAGCUUCUCCUACAGCUGGAGGAAAAGAAGAGAUCUGGCUGAAGUCCAGAUUCAUCCGGGUCUGCUGGCUCACCAGCUCAUCACAGAGUCAACCACAUGCUGAGGAUCAAGGCAGCAAAUGAUCAAGAGGGUCCUGGAGCAGGAAGGAGCACUCACAAAAGUCCUGUCCACUGAAAAAAGUCCAGGCAUCUUGUCCCUACAUGGCAAGACAUAGAGGUCCACAAGGCUCUGAAACCCCUUUAGGACUCCACCAAUGCUCUGUCAGAUGAGGAAUAUGUCACCCUCUCAUAUGUCAGACCUGUGCUACACCAUUUCAACACAAGUGUCCUGGCACAUGAAGAGGGUGAUAGCCUGCUGUGCAAAUCAAUCAAGACCUGCACUGUGGAUUACCUCAGUGCCAUGUAUGCCAACCCAGCCAUUAGUGACAAGAUGGACAUUGCCUCACUUGUGGAUCCACGGUUCAGGGCCAGAUGCAUCCCAAGUGAAAAGAUCGAUGCAGUAAAACACAAAGCUGUCUUGGAGGCGGAGUCUCUGCUGGCUGAUCUGGGCAGCUGUCAGCCUGACCCAGCUGUGCCCGCUGUGCCCAAGCCUGCAGACCAAGAAGCAGCAGUGCCACCAACAGCUAAGAGGAAGUCACUGGAAAGCUUCUUCAAGUAGAGCACAGCCACCAGCACUGCAUUAACACAAAGGGAGGCAAUUGCAAAUUAACUUUCAAGCUACUUGCAGUCAGUGAGUGUAGAGAGUGUUACAGAUCCUCUCAAACGGUGGAAGGAACAUAACAAUGACUUUCCAGCACUGAGCCACCUGGCAAAGAAGUAUCUUUGUGUACCAGCAACCAGUUCUCCUUCCAAAAGGGUCUUCAGUUGCAGUGGUAACAUUGUAACCUGUCACAGGGCAUCCCUGAAGCCUGAGGCUGUUGAUAGGCGAUAGGAGAUAGGAGAUGUACAUGGGUACAAAGGAGGAAAUACUUUGCCUGGUAAAGAACUGUCUCCCUCAGUAAAAAAAACUUAACUACUUUGUCAGAGCGAGUAGACCUGUUGUUUUUGUCCCGUUUACAUUAUUAUUAUUAUUUGCACAGUUGCAUAUUUUGUUAAGCAGGAGAGGAAAACCUGUAAUUGUACUUUAUUUUAAUCAGUUUGUUAUUGUUGUUGAAAACAACUGAAGGAGCAUUCUCAGAGAUAGGCCUAUUUUUAUUUAAUAUAGCCUAAGCUAUUUAUAUAAUUUUUCAUUUACAUGUUGAUAUAUUGUGCAGCUGUUUAAUUUCAAACCCUGUCUUUGCAUUUCAUUUUGAUCACAGCCUGUUUUAAUAAAAGUGCUUGUAACAUCUCA